UUAUAGCGGCCGCAGCCGCCGCGGUAAUUCGUAGGGUGCAAGCGUUAUCCGGAAUUAUUGGGCGUAAAGGGCUCGUAGGCGGUUCGUCGCGUCCGGUGUGAAAGUCCAUCGCUUAACGGUGGAUCCGCGCCGGGUACGGGCGGGCUGAGUCGUCG
rnacentral:rRNA from 1 species